ACGUACAGCGUGCACAUCGAAUAUUAAUAACGCAUGCGCAAUACACACCUCUCAGAAUGGGUGUGAUGAGAGUUGAGAGAAGACUCCCGGCGUUAAUGGACAAAUAAAAUAUGGAGAAGAAAGUACUUCUUUGUUUCUCCUGAAAAAAAAAAAACAGUUUUAGCAUCAACAACAUAAACAAACGGCUAUUGUGGACUAAACGCAACUUCCGGUUGACGUUUACAUAGAAUAAAUAACAACAGAGUCAUUUUACAGUGGACAUAACAUCAAGGUUUCCUCACCGUCCAUGAUGACUGCUUCGUCUGAGGUUGCCUUCUAGUUCUUAAUAAAAUCCGUUCUUACGGAGACAAACUCGCACACGGUCCCUGAGACAGAUGGAGACAGAUGGAGCUGUACUCUGAAGACCUGGGACACAGGUAGCAGGAUUUUAUAGACUCUGGGCAAUAAAUUGAGCCUCAGUCACUAGUGGGUUAAAAUAGGUUUGACGUGGUUGUUUAUGACAGGAAUAUGACUGAGUGUGGUGGGGUGGGUGGAUUGAGCUAAUUAAGGAGUUGUCCAGUUAUUUACAGCUUUCUUAUCGAUCUUUACCAUAAAUCAAACAAUGUGAACUUUUGUUUUUUU